CUUCCUUUCCUUUCUUUUGUUUAAGAAAAAUUGCCCUGAUAGUGUGCCUCAUACCAAACAAGUACUCAAAGUAAUCUCUUGAUUGGUUCACGAAUCCAAAUCUCUCAGUGCUUGGAGGAGUAUAGAUUUAGUUUGGGUGGCAGAGUCCUUGGUUUUCACCAUUGCCUGAUUUAAGGUCUAUGUUGGACUGUGGAUUCGUGUUGUUGCAGUGUUUCAGAGCAAGGUCAGGGAGGGGAACCUCAGUGUUUUCAUCAUAACUCCAUUUGAAUGUAUGCUCCCUUAUCUGUGGCUGUUAUUCCAACCAGUGGCAAGGACGUAAUUAAAGAGUCACGAAGAUUCAGGCAGGCUGAGUGUCCUGGCUUAACGGAAGGCCAAGCUCAGCUCCAAGAAGGCUAAGGAAAUAAGAGGAAGAAGAUACAGUUUCAGGUUAGGAAGAGUCCUCUCCUAGGGCCACCAAGAAAACACCUGGGAGAUUCCGUUCCAGCACCUUACAAUUUUUGCAACUGGUCAAAAGAAAGAGAGCUACCAUGCAGGAAUAAUUGGACCAUGCCUGGACAAGCACAAUGAGUUGGACGCAAGCCUUCAAUUCUAAUCUGGCAGCACACUUGUUGAUAAAUUGCAAAACGUCUCCUGGUUUCCAUGGAAAAAAAGGAAGGAUGAUGCUCAGCUGUGGAUAAUAUCAACAACAAUGGGAUGAACAAUUUUGAUGAAUGCAAACUGAAAGAAAAUCCAGCAUAUGAAAUUCACAUUUUGGUAUAUUUUUAUUUGCUACGUCUUUUCAGCUUUAAUAAACACAUGUCAAGAUA